UGGGGAAUUUUGGACAAUGGGGGAAACCCUGAUCCAGCCAUCCCGCGUGUGCGAUGAAGGCCUUCGGGUUGUAAAGCACUUUUGGCAGGAAAGAAACGUCGCGGGUUAAUACCCCGCGAAACUGACGGUACCUGCAGAAUAAGCACCGGCUAACUACGUGCCAGCAGCCGCGGUAAUACGUAGGGUGCAAGCGUUAAUCGGAAUUACUGGGCGUAAAGCGUGCGCAGGCGGUUCGGAAAGAAAGAUGUGAAAUCCCAGAGCUUAACUUUGGAACUGCAUUUUUAACUACCGGGCUAGAGUGUGUCAGAGGGAGGUGGAAUUCCGCGUGUAGCAGUGAAAUGCGUAGAUAUGCGGAGGAACACCGAUGGCGAAGGCAGCCUCCUGGGAUAACACUGACGCUCAUGCACGAAAGCGUGGGGAGCAAACAGGAUUAGAUACCCUGGUAGUCCACGCCCUAAAACGAUGUCAACUAGCUGUUGGGGCCUUCGGGCCUUGGUAGCGCAGCUAACGCGUGAAGUUGACCGCCUGGGGAGUACGGUCGGCAAGAUUAAAAACUCAAAAGGAAUU
rnacentral:rRNA from 1 species